rnacentral:misc_RNA from 1 species
GCAAACUUGGUCAUUUAGAGGAAGUAAAAGUCGUAACAAGGUUUCCGUAGGUGAACCUGCGGAAGGAUCAUCAAUGAAUCUAUAAAAUUUCAUACACCCUUGUGAAUUUUCGGCAAGCGGGGCGCAGCAACCAGAGCGAGUUUUGCUUUGCGCUGUGCUACCGCGAGCUGAGCUAGAGUAUUACGUGCUCUGACGUGCUUUUUGGUGGUUUCAGUGAAGUGCAUUGAUCGAGUUUCGAUCAAGCCUGCUGUCCGCCAGCGUCGUGCACAUGUUAACAAAAACGCAUUUUUCAAACCAAGCUAAUGAAAUAUUCUUUAAUUUUAUUUAACAACUUUCAACAAUGGAUCUCUUGGCUCUCGCAUCGAUGAAGAACGCAGC